GGCAGUCAUGGUUUCAGAGGCCUGCUUACCCACACUCAGGGCUGCGCGAUGAAGCCCUGAUGUGAGCUUGGACCUGUUGAUAAAAGACAUACAUUCCAGUGGGAAAAAAGACAGGAAAUCUUCCUCAAGCUGGGUAAUCCUUCCAUUUUCAGAAGCCCAAUGACUGUAUUUUUGUUUUUAAAAGAAUGCUCAGAGGGACAGACAUUUCCUACAGGGCAAACUCUGAAGAAAGUAUUAAGAAGGCAUGCAGACCCCAGACCAGCUGGACCUGAAGAUUGAUGAUGCUCACUCCUAUGGAUCUCACCACUAACCCAUCAGAAGAACAUCCACGAGCUGACCACGCCUUCUUUGAUCAAUUACAAUAAAAACUUCCUACUGUUUUAGGCAAAUUGGGACACAUAGUUUUGCAGGCACCAGCCCAAUGUGACUCCCUAUGCCUGAGGCAGAGCGAUGAAGCAUAGAGACAACGAGUUUUCAAGUCAGAGAGACCUGGAUCUGAACUGUGGAUCUACUACUAAAAUGCUAUAUGACUUUAGGUAACUUACCUAAAGCAUUUGAAAUUCAAGUUUCUCAUCUGUAAAAACCUGUAAGAAGCUGUUUGAACUAAAUAAGAUAGUGUAU